rnacentral:rRNA from 1 species
AUUGAACGCUGGCGGCAGGCCUAACACAUGCAAGUCGAGCGAGCGGCGGACGGGUGAGUAAUGUAUGGGAAACUGCCUGAUGGAGGGGGAUAACUACUGGAAACGGUAGCUAAUACCGCAUACCAUCAGAUGAGCCCAGAUGGGAUUAGCUUGUAGGUGGGGUAACGGCUCACCUAGGCGACGAUCCCUAGCUGGUCUGAGAGGAUGACCAGCCACACUGGAACUUAGACACGGUCCAGACUCCUACGGGAGGCAGCAGUGGGGAAUCUUGCACAAUGGGCGAAAGCCUGAUGCAGCCAUGCCGCGUGUGUGAUGAAGGCCUUCGGGUUGUAAAGCACUUUUAGUGAGGAGGCGUUACUCGCAGAAGAAGCACCGGCUAACUCCGUGCCAGCAGCCGCGGUAAUAC